UACGAGUGCUCCAAGCGUUAUCCGGAAUCAUUGGGCGUAAAGGGUGUGUAGGUGGUUGUGUUAGUCUUCUGUUAAAUUCUUCGGCUUAACCGGGGUCAUGCAGGGGAAACGGCACAACUAGAGGAUGCGAGAGGUACAUGGAACUCAUGGAGUAGGGGUGAAAUGCGUAGAUAUCAUGGGGAACACCGAAAGCGAAGGCAAUGUACUGGCGCACUCCUGACACUGAAACACGAAAGCGUAGGUAGCGAAUGGG
rnacentral:rRNA from 1 species